UUAUAUAAAUCUUGUUAUUAUUAUAGCUCGACUUUACAGUCCAGCUCCGUCUCAUACAGUCUUGCGACUGUGGCGGAUUGGUAUUAUUAUUAUAGCUCGACUUUACAGUCCAGCUCCGUCUCAUACAGUCUUGCGACUGUGGCGGAUUGGUAUUUUUUUUUUUUUUUAUAAACAAGUAUAUAUAAUACCCGACCAAAGUGUCGAGGCCGCCCCAUCUAAUAGUGUGGGUUCAUUGGGAGAGGAAAUUUUUUUUUUUUUUUUUUUGUGAAAUUGCUGGCAUAUGAACGUGUUCACAGGGUGAAUUCGACUUAUUGUAUGGGAUCUGCUUGCUCCUCUUUCUGCUUGUUGUAUAUCCAUGGAUAUGGUUGAGAAAUGGUUGAACAUUUAAAAUCUGUGCUAAGUUUUGCCUUGGCCAAGUUUAACCACCUUAUUCUGGGUGCAGCUUCUACUACUUUUUUUUAUUCAUAAUUAUAAUAACGAUAAUAACUUCUUCUGAAAUUCGUACACGGUACCCAGACUGUUUGAUGAAACAGGCAACUGUGGUGUGUGGAGUAUUCUUCCAAUGGCUCCUUAGUUUUUUGCGCUGCGCUAUCAUGGGGCGCUAAUAAGUGUGACUCUUUGCCAGUCACAUGACUCGUAAUUUUACUUAUAGAAAUAUUAGUCCUACUUUUCAUCAUGUUGUUUUUCGGCGUCGAUUUAAUUAUUUUCCACACGUUUAAUAAUACGGCCGACGAGACAUACUAUUUAGCUACGGUAGUUGAUAAAGUUUUAUGCAAGUUCAAAAUUAUUUUUUUUUACCAAUCCUAUUAUUGGUUCUACUUUUCUUCAAGUUGUUUUGGCAAGGAUUAAUUAUUUUCCACUCGCUUAAUAAUACGACCUAGGGCUGUAUGGCUGAUGGAACGUCGAAAGCGGCCAGCUAAGGGAAGGGCCGGAGUUUGAAGCGCUGUUAAUAAUAGAAAAGCGUCAGCACAGGCGGGAGGCUGAGGUGUCCAAGUAAUCUAAGUAUUAUCUGCUUGUAUGUCUUCCUAUCUGUACUUCAUCCAAAUCCAAAAUUUAGUUGGGGGUUUCGAAGGCUUGCUGAAGACAUUGUUGUUAAUAAAAAAAAAAUUAUACAAAUCACAAUUUAUAAUAUGUGUUUUUUUUACAAAAUUAAAAAUAUUUGUUGAUAUCGAAGAUUUUCGCUAAAUACUUAGAACCAACGAUUUUUUUUAUAUAAACAGUGCAUACAUUUUAUAAUAUAACUAGCUGACCUGCAAACGUUGUUUUGCCAUAUCCAUUAUUUCUUUAUACUUAAAUACAGAAUAACUAAUUUACUAGUGUGUGGAGAUGCAGUUAUAGUCGAAAGCGUUGUACUCAACCGAAGUAUGCUUUAUUUAUUACUAUAUUAGUGACAAUUAAAAGAAAAUACAGAUUAAUCUGUCAGGGCAAUGGAAUGCGCAAUAUUCUUUGUUAGGCCAUCUUUAGCCAACACAAACAAACUGGAUGGUUUCCCAAUGCGAGAACAUGCCACAUAUACGUAGUUAUCCGUGGGAAAAGCAUGGUGUUUCCAAAUCUAAGCCACAUACUGACAACAUUUGGCCUUGUGACUUGUUGAUUGUCAUCGCGUAUGCCAAUCUGAUUGAGAAUUGAAUGCGUUCGAAUUCAAUUGGCACAUCUGUAGGGAUCAUAGGAAUUCGUGGCAUUAAUACACUUUCAUCUUGAAACUUGCCAUUCAAAUCGGUGGUCUCAAUCACACUCUUCAUUAAUUUUUUAAGUUCCAAUCGUGUUCUAUUGCUCAGGCGUGGUAUAUUCAAGUUCAAGUUACGGAGCAAAAUCACUGGAGAUCCGAGCUUCAAUUGUAAGUGGUGCGGUGGCAUGCCUGGUAAAGCUGGUAAAGCAUCUUGCGAGUUGAUUGUGCAGAAAUCGAUUUGUAGUUUGUAGUUGUCCCAAUGAUUGUCGUCUUCUAGCAAGCCUAGUGCAGGACAUGCAUCUUUAUGCGUUGGAUACUGUUGGCCAUUUACUUCACGUAUACAAUUAAGUUCCCGGAAAUAGAUGCUGAUCGUUUUCUUCGAUAUUCGUGGUGUUGUUAAUUCGGAAUUCUUACCGGAGGGCCAAACCGUCAAUAAAGAAUGGUAUCUUGGCAUUAUGAGGCGUUUGAGGAUGAAUAUUCGUCGCAAAAGAACAGAUUUGUGGCGGAACAACAGUUGGAUUUUGCAUCACGAUAAUGCACCAGCGCACAAAGCGAUCAUUGUGAACGAGUUUUUUGAAGAAAAAUUCAACAAAUAUCAUCGAAUAAAUAAAUAUUUAAUAAAUUUAGAUGCUUGAUAA